rnacentral:ncRNA from 1 species
UGUUUUAUGUUUCGUUAGUGUCAUGAACUAACUCCCGGAAAUGUAAAACUAAAAAUUUAAUAUAAUGCAGUAUUCGUUGGGACGUUGUCUGCAAAUGAAUGGAGUUUACUUUCCUUUCUUUUGCGAUGACUUGAAACUGCCUAAACACUGCAUAAAG